AGUACGGUGGCGGACGGGUGAGUAACGCGUAAAGAAUUUGCCCUUCAGACUGGGACAACUAACCGAAAGGUUAGCUAAUACCGGAUAUUAUGAGACCUUGGCAUCAAGGACUUAUGAAAGCUAUAUGCGCUGGAGGAGAACUUUGCGUCCCAUUAGGUAGUUGGUAGGGUAAUGGCCUACCAAGCCGACGAUGGGUAGCCGGCCUGAGAGGGUGAACGGCCACAAGGGGACUGAGACACGGCCCUUACUCCUACGGGAGGCAGCAGUGGGGAAUAUUGGACAAUGGACCAAAAGUCUGAUCCAGCAAUUCUGUGUGCACGAUGAAGGUCUUCGGAUUGUAAAGUGCUUUCAGGUGGGAAGAAGAAAGUGACGGUACCACCAGAAGAAGCGACGGCUAAAUACGUGCCAGCAGCCGCGGUAAUACGUAUGUCGCAAGCGUUAUCCGGAAUUAUUGGGCGUAAAGCGAGUCUAGGCGGCUUGUUAAGUCAGAUGUGAAAAUGCGGGGCUCAACUCCGUAUUGCGUUUGAAACUGGCAGGCUAGAGUACUGGAG
rnacentral:rRNA from 1 species